ensembl:lincRNA
GGGGCAGCGGGGCUGGGCUCCGGCCGGGAGUCAGACGAGGGAGCGCGCGCGCGCUCCCGGACAGUUCUCCGCAGCCGCUCGCCCGAGCCUUCUACUUGGCCAACACAGCUGCCUCUACCACCUCGCGUGCCCGGUUCGUGGGCUUUCAGUUACCAAGCAUGUCCUGAAGAUGAAGAUACUCUCAGCCUAACGUCUCCAAGCAAAUAUUGAUUCAGCAGUAUCCCCAGGUAGGUGCUUUUUGCUUAAAAGGGGCUUUCCUGUUAGCCCUUGGCAUUUAUUGUGCUUAGAAGCUGGCAAGACACAUAGAUCUAAACCCACAGGAGCCUUCAGAGCAACUGUUGGUACCGCCCUCUGCUAGGCAGGAAAGAAGGAGCCAGAGAGGAUAACUGAUCCACCAAGGUCACCCUGCCAGUGAGCAUCAAAGGCAAUUCUAGUCCACAUAGUUACCAUGACAUUACAGGAUGUUUAUCUAGAACUUAAGCCCCAAAUACUAUGCUUAAGUUCUAGACCACACACAUGUGUGCACACACACAAGCACACGCGCGCACACAUACAAACACAAUGUCCAUUUCUCCCGAAAUCCUGAACACUUUUCUAACUUCAAAGGGUAGCAACCUAGACGUGCUGAUAACCCACCUUGGCCUCUGCCGUGGGAUUCUGCCAAGCAGCCCACUUGGACGUCACCCUUAAUUUAAGCCAGCGUGAUGGAUUGUGGUGUGGUCUUUCUUAACUGUAUUAUUACUCCUGCUUCAUUCCCUGAGCACAGAAUGAGGGAUUCUCUCUACUACGCCUGGGAUGCAUCCUCCUUGCUGGGUAUAACUGGCCUAUUUGCUGAGUAAAAGCAGUGGGGAAACAAGAGUCCUUGAAGCCCAGACAUAGCAGAAUUCCUAGCUGCCCUCCACCCCUGAGUCUGCAGACCCAGGUCCCCCAGACCUGCUCACUUUACUCUUAUACCCUGCUAUGCUGCAGUGUAAACUGCCUUCCUGUCUCAACUGCAGAAGCCCUCCUCUGGCCGUCUGUGGCACAGUGUCUUUUGCCAAGGCCGGUGCUCCACCCAGACCCCUGGAAUCUAGUUGCAGGGCAUUCACCAUGUUUACUGGCAUCCUAGGUGUGUGUGGGCUCUGCAGCUUGCCUUCAACCGGUCCCCAGCUGCUCUUUUUCUCCUCUCAUAUGAUGCUCCCCACCCUCAAGGGCCAACCUGGAUAGCUGUGUUUACUUAGGUGAGCCUGGCUCCCCUAUGUGGCUUCCGGUCCUGCCCAUCCUCCACCCGUAUCCCCUUUCUACACAGGUUAGGCCCAUCUACCCCUGGAAAUGGCUUAGAGUGCAGGCUCUGUGUCUAGCAUUAGAGCCUUGUGUUUGCCCGAUACCUGUCCUUUAAUGGCAUGCAGCCCCAGUGCCUUCAUAUAAUUAUUGCUCACAACGCUUUCCAGUGGCUGCGUCCAGAGUAAGCAGUAAGAGAGCAAGGAACUUGCUGGGUUAGGAUCAGAUCCAAACAGGGGCUGAGGCUUUCUAUCCCAAGCUGCUGCCCUCACCGGGGUCCUCACCCCUGCUAUCCUCACAGAACACUGAGAAGAUGACCAGCCCACCCCAGCCUUCUCUGCAUCUGUACCACAGUACACAGAUCCAUGCAUGCUUUCACUCAGCUUCAACAUCUCCUUAUUUGCCAGAUCUUUACUGAGCACAAGUAUCCCCACAGCAACACAGAGUGGAACAGACAAGAGGCUGCCCUCUGGUUACAGGAAGCUGACCACAUCAAAUCACAGCCAAGCUAUGUAGCCAGAGGUUAGAGGUGCAGGGGACAGAGCUCCCCAUCAGCUACAACAACCAUUUCCCUUCCUAGCAGAGUACCAGUGGCAUUAAGAUAUCACCAGCUUGGCUACCCCUAAACCUUCAAGAUGGUAUAUAUACCCCUACCCAUAGGUCCUAGGCAGGCUUCACAGAACAAAGGGUCCUUGCAGUGCCCACCCCACCCCCACGGUGCCUCAAGAGGAAAUGUGGUACUUUCUCAAGCCAAUGAGGCAAAGGUAAACUGCUAGAGAGUAAAAGCAUUUCUAGGGAUAGUAUCCGAGAUUUAAAGAGAAAGCCAUAAGAAAGUCUGGUCUCCGGGUGUGGUGGCGCACGCCUUUAAUCCUAGCACUCAGGAGGCAGAGGCAGGUGGAUUUCNNNNNNNNNNNN